GAUGAACGCUGGCGGCGUGCUUAACACAUGCAAGUCGAACGAAGCGCUUUAACGGAACUCUCCGGAGGGAAGUUAUUGUGACUGAGUGGCGGACGGGUGAGUAACGCGUGGGUAACCUGCCUUACACAGGGGGAUAACAGUUAGAAAUGACUGCUAAUACCGCAUAACCCGCUAGUACCGCAUGGUACAGACGGAAAAGAUUUAUCGGUGUAAGAUGGACCCGCGUCUGAUUAGCUAGUUGGUAGGGUAACGGCCUACCAAGGCGACGAUCAGUAGCCGGCUUGAGAGAGUGGACGGCCACAUUGGGACUGAGACACGGCCCAG
rnacentral:rRNA from 1 species